UGAGUUUUAGAUCAGUAGGUAGAGCGUGUGACUCUCAAUCUCAAGGUCGGAGGUUCGAUCCCACCUCCUGUCUUUG